GACGAACGCUGGCGGCGUGCUUAACACAUGCAAGUCGAACGGAAAGGCCCUGCUUUUGUGGGGUGCUCGAGUGGCGAACGGGUGAGUAACACGUGAGUAACCUGCCCUUGACUUUGGGAUAACUUCAGGAAACUGGGGCUAAUACCGGAUAGGAGCUCCUGCUGCAUGGUGGGGGUUGGAAAGUUUCGGCGGUUGGGGAUGGACUCGCGGCUUAUCAGCUUGUUGGUGGGGUAGUGGCUUACCAAGGCUUUGACGGGUAGCCGGCCUGAGAGGGUGACCGGCCACAUUGGGACUGAGAUACGGACCAGACUCCUACGGGAGGCAGCAGGGGGGAAUAUUGCACAAUGGGCGGAAGCCUGAUGCAGCAACGCCGCGUGCGGGAUGACGGCCUUCGAGUUGUAAACCGCUUUCGCCUGUGACGAAGCGUGAGUGACGGUAAUGGGUAAAGAAGCACCGGCUAACUACGUG
rnacentral:rRNA from 1 species